CCUACGGGUGGCAGCAGUGAGGAAUAUUGGUCAAUGGCCGGAAGGCUGAACCAGCCAUGCCGCGUGAAGGUCAGUGCCCUAUGGGCGUUAAACUUCUUUUGUGCGGGAGCAAUAAUGGUCACGUGUGGCCAGACGAGAGUACCGUACGAAUAAGCAUCGGCUAACUCCGUGCCAGCAGCCGCGGUAAUACGGGGGAUGCAAGCGUUAUCCGGAUUUAUUGGGUUUAACGGGCGCGUAGAUGGGUUGUUAAGUCAGUUGUGAAAGUUGGCGGCUCAACCGUAAAAUUGCAAUUGAUACUGGCAGUCUUGAGUACAGUUGAGGUAGGCGGAAUUCGUGGUGUAGCGGUGAAAUGCUUAGAUAUCACGAAGAACUCCGAUUGCGAAGGCAGCAUACCGGCGCCCAACUGACGCUGAAGCACGAAAGCGUGGGUAUCGAACAGGAUUAGAUACCCCUGUAGUC
rnacentral:rRNA from 1 species